CGAUAACUAUUGAUAAGCGUGUAAAGACAGUUAUGGAAUCAUAAUCCCUGAAUGCAGCCUUUGCAGUUUUUCCAUCAAAAACACGAAGUUCUCGGACAACACAACUGCAAUAUACCAAAAUGUUGGAUUUUUUUUAUUUAAAUAAAGGUCUUGCUGAAGGAAAAUACAGUUCUUUACAUGGAAAACAAGAGACACAAAAAAAUGGGCUGAACUAGCUGCAAAAUUAAAUUAUGUUCAAGGGGCAACAAAAACUGUCGAACAGUGGCAAGUGGUACGAGCAUAAUAUAUUAUAUUUACCAGAUCUCCAGAUUAUCUCCAUGUCUAAAUUCAUUAGAAUGCCAAAAUGUCUUAAACAUUGCAGUUUACUUUAUCAAGGUUUGGAGAGAAAUUAAAGUCGUACUUUUGUAAAAGCACGCGAUUUGAGAAAGGCUAAGGCGAUAACAGGAAACAAAAUUCAAACAACCUGCAGAAUUGGGUCAUACCGAUUAUCAGUAUAAUGAGACAGGCUAUUAUAAAUCUUUACAAAUGAACUGUUUUGUGGAAAUUGGUAGAUACCUCGCGAGUAACAAAUGUUUGCAAUAUCCUUCCACAAGAAAACGUGCAAGAAGAUCCGCUUCAAAUACAUACUUUAAAUAGAAAUGAAGUUGAUUUUUUGGAUACUGACAUGGGCCAAUAUGACGAUCACGACUUAGUAUUUCAUGGAAAUACAUCUGAUAACGAAAACAUCCCCGUGCGACAAAAUUUACAAAAUGCCGAUUCAACUCAUUCGAGUGAAACCCAUCGGACUGUUGAAAGUACUAUUGUUUCUAUAGACUUGGAGAAGCAAACGAAGAAAGAGACUCCAUACAUACUUCCUACUUUCAAACCAUUGGAUCUACCGAUUACUACUCGCAAUAUUGAUUUAUCGCUCCUUUCGAGAAGAUGUAGUAAGGCAAAUCAUAGAUUGCUACAUAGAUUGCAAUGACAGAAAUGGCUAAGCUGCUACAAAAUUGGCAAAAAAUGUAGAACUACAAAGUGUAAAUGAGACAGAUAGGAUACGAAUAAUGGAGAAAGUAACAGAAGUAUUGAAAAAUUUAUUGUCAAACUAUAUUCACUAAGAGAUUACACACAAGUAUUGGAAGUAGAAUUUGACAGGAAUUUGGAUAAAACUUAACACUUAAAUUAAGCAAGAGAACGCAAUUUUGUGAUAAUGUUUUGUAUAAUAUUUUGA